CUCUUCCACUUCAGAUACAGACAUGUGAUGCUUUACACAGUGAAUACAAAAAUGUAUUGGCAUCCUUUGAGACAUGACACAGUGAUACUUGAUUGAAUGGAGGGUUAGAAGAUCAAUAUUUUUAUCUUACAAUGAAAACUACUGUAUCAACCUCCGAAACUUGUGAUUUCUGCCACAAUUUGGAUAAGUUCAAAACGUAAUUAAAUUGUCAAUAUAUCAUGAAGAAUCUCUACCAUCAGCAUUGAUAUCGAGCGUACUAGAGAGGGCAAGAGAACACUCUGGGUGUUCCCAUUGGAGCCUGGAUCUCGCGUUCACUGACCUACCUUAACAGAGCCCCGUGUAUCCUACUACCCUCAACACUUCUCUCUCUCUCUCUCUCUUUCUCUAUAGGCGAAUCCAACACUAGGUAAAUAUAAAAUCAAUCCCUUCA